ensembl:snoRNA
AGCAUUUGAUAAAAAGAAAAAAAGGUCAGGGGGUUGUAACAAAGCCUUACAGACAGGUGCAAACAGUAAAUCCUCUUUUGCAAUCCAGAACUCAUUGCUGAAUAUGAGAUUUUGGUUCAUGUAAGAAGGAAUAUG